rnacentral:rRNA from 2 species
CACGGGGGGAGCAAGCGUUGUUCGGAAUUACUGGGCGUAAAGGGCGUGUAGGCGGUCAAGUAAGUGGAAUGUGAAACGCCUCGGCUUACCCGAGGACCUGCAUCCCAAACUGCUUGGCUUGAGUAUGGGAGAGGAUGAGGGAAUUCCUGGUGUAGCGGUGAAAUGCGUAGAUAUCAGGAGGAACACCGGUGGCGAAAGCGCUCAUCUGGCCCAAUACUGACGCUGAGGCGCGAAAGCUAGGGGAGCAAACGGG